rnacentral:rRNA from 1 species
CGCGUAGGCGGGGGACCAAGUCCGGGGUGAAAUCUUUCGGCUCAACCGGAAAACUGCCUUGGAUACUGGUCUUCUUGAGGGAGGUAGGGGCAGGUGGAACUUCCGGUGGAGCGGUGAAAUGCGUUGAUAUCGGAAGGAACGCCGGUGGCGAAAGCGACCUGCUGGAUCUCUUCUGACGCUGAGGCGCGAAAGCUAGGGGGGCGAAC